rnacentral:piRNA from 1 species
UUGAAAAUGCGUUGUCUCAUGAU